AACGAACGCUGGCGGCGUGGAUAAGACAUGCAAGUCGAACGGAGUAUUCUGGUAGCAAUAUCAGGAUGCUUAGUGGCAAACGGGUGCGUAACACGUGGAUUACAUUCCAGAAAGCGCGGGAUAGCCCAGGGAAACUUGGAUUAAUACCGCAUGUGGUCGCAAGACUAAAGGCGCAAGCCGCUUUCUGAUUGGUCCGCGGCCUAUCAGCUAGUUGGUGAGGAAAAGCUCACCAAGGCUACGACGGGUAGCUGGUCUGAGAGGACGACCAGCCACACUGGAACUGAGACACGGUCCAGACACCUACGGGUGGCAGCAGUCGAGAAUCUUUCACAAUGGGGGCGAACCCUCG
rnacentral:rRNA from 1 species